rnacentral:rRNA from 1 species
AUUGAACGCUGGCGGAAUGCUUUACACAUGCAAGUCGAGCGGCAGGCGCGGGGCAACCUGGCGGCGAGCGGCGAACGGGUGAGUAAUGCAUCGGAACAUGUCCAUUCGUGGGGGAUAGCCCGGCGAAAGCCGGAUUAAUACCGCAUACGCCCUUUGGGGGAAAGCGGGGGACUUCGCAAGAGGCCUCGCGCGAAUGGGUUGGCCGAUGUCCGAUUAGCUAGGUUGGUGGGGUAAAGGCNCACCAAGGCGAUGAUCGGUAGCUGGUCUGAGAGGAUGAUCAGCCACACUGGGACUGAGA